CGCAUCUGGACUGAGUCAGAAACAUAUGGUGAGCAGAAUGCAUACAUGAUUGGUGAUAUUAAUAUUAAACCCCUCAUCAUUGAUCGUACUAAGAACCAUGACAUUGCAAUGGUUGGAAAUUUGGGAGCUUUUGGCAUUUUAAUAGGAAGCAUAUUACCUAACUUUCCAAUGAUACAAGUUUGAGCAACUAGCUGCCUUGAAGUAUAUGCUACUCCUUCCAAAUCUUUCUGUUCUAUAGAACUCUUGAGUGUAGAGAGCUCCGUUAAGUGCUUAUUGACUGGGAAAUGUUGUUAGUUACUACAUUUGUUUUUUUUUUAA